rnacentral:rRNA from 1 species
AGAGUUUGAUCAUGGCUCAGAUUGAACGCUGGCGGUAUGCCUAACACAUGCAAGUCGAACGAGGUAGCAAUACCUAGUGGCGGACGGGUGAGGAAUACGUAGGGAUCUGCCCUUAAGUGGGGGAUAACCCGGGGAAACCCGGAUUAAUACCGCAUGAUCUCGCAAGAGCAAAGAGGGGGACCGCAAGGCCUCUCGCUUUUGGAGGAACCUACGUCGGAUUAGCUAGUUGGUGAGGUAAUGGCUCACCAAGGCGACGAUCCGUAACUGGUCUGAGAGGAUGAUCAGUCACACCGGAACUGAGACACGGUCCGGACUCCUACGGGAGGCAGCAGUGGGGAAUAUUGGACAAUGGGCGAAAGCCUGAUCCAGCAAUACCGCGUUUGUGAAGAAGGCCUUCGGGUUGUAAAGCACUUUAAGUUGGGAAGAAAAAGCUUCACCUAAUACGUGAAGCCUUGACGGUACCGACAGAAUAAGCACCGGCUAACUCUGUGCCAGCAGCCGCGGUAAUACAGAGGGUGCUAGCGUUAAUCGGAUUUACUGGGCGUAAAGCGUGCGUAGGUGGUUUGAUAAGUCGAUUGUGAAAGCCCCGGGCUUAACCUGGGAAUUGCGGUCGAUACUGUCAGACUCGAAAACGGUAGAGGGAGGUGGAACUCCAGGUGUAGCGGUGAAAUGCGUAGAUAUCUGGAAGAACACCGAUGGCGAAGGCAGCCUCCUGGGCCUGUUUUGACACUGAGGCACGAAAGCGUGGGUAGCAAACAGGAUUAGAUACCCCGGUAGUCC